GAGGCUGUAGCUCAGUGGUAAAGUGCUUGCCUCGAAUGUGUGAGGCACUGAGUUCAAUCCUCAGCACCACA
rnacentral:tRNA from 1 species